rnacentral:rRNA from 1 species
UACGUAGGCGGAAGAUUAAGUCAGUGGUGAAAUCCUGCAGCUUAACUGUAGAACUGUCAUUGAUACUGGUUUUCUUGAAUUUAGUUGAGGUAGGCGGAAUGUGUAAUGUAGCGGUGAAAUGCUUAGAUAUUACACAGAAUACCGAUUGCGAAGGCAGCUUACUAAGCUAUGAUUGACGCUGAGGUACGAAAGCGUGGGGAGCGAACAGGAUUAGAUACCCUGGUAGUCC